rnacentral:rRNA from 1 species
UACGUAGGGUGCGAGCGUUAAUCGGAAUUACUGGGCGUAAAGGGCGCGCAGGCGGCUCAUUUUGUCAGGCGUGAAAGCCCCGGGCUUAACCUGGGAGGUGCGUUUGAUACGGAUGGGCUAGAGUUCGGGAGAGGAGAGUGGAAUUCCCAGUGUAGAGGUGAAAUUCGUAGAUAUUGGGAAGAACACCGGUGGCGAAGGCGGCUCUCUGGACCGAGACUGACGCUGAGGCGCGAAAGCGUGGGGAGCAAACAGG